rnacentral:tRNA from 1 species
GGAAGAAUGGUCCAGCAGUUAGGGCACUCACCUGGGAUUUGGGAGACCUGAGUUUGAGUCCCUGCUCUGCCA